rnacentral:rRNA from 1 species
ACUCCUACGGGAGGCAGCAGUAGGGAAUCUUCCACAAUGGGCGCAAGCCUGAUGGAGCAACACCGCGUGAGUGAAGAAGGGUUUCGGCUCGUAAAGCUCUGUUGUUAAAGAAGAACACGUAUGAGAGUAACUGUUCAUACGUUGACGGUAUUUAACCAGAAAGUCACGGCUAACUACGUGCCAGCAGCCGCGGUAAUACGUAGGUGGCAAGCGUUAUCCGGAUUUAUUGGGCGUAAAGAGAGUGCAGGCGGUUUUCUAAGUCUGAUGUGAAAGCCUUCGGCUUAACCGGAGAAGUGCAUCGGAAACUGGAUAACUUGAGUGCAGAAGAGGGUAGUGGAACUCCAUGUGUAGCGGUGGAAUGCGUAGAUAUAUGGAAGAACACCAGUGGCGAAGGCGGCUACCUGGUCUGCAACUGACGCUGAGACUCGAAAGCAUGGGUAGCGAACAGGAUUAGAUACCCU